GUCUUUCUCAACCUCGGUGCAUCCACAGUCCAGAGCGUGUCAAUAUGUGGAAGUCAGGCGUAAUAACUAGGAUUUGGAUGAAGUUGAUGGACACCUUGUGGAUGGACAAAGCAAUGGAUAUCAGAGCAGGAUAUGCAGACCCAUUCUUAUCAAGUUAAACUGGAGGUGCAAACUUUCUUGCUGCUCAGGAAGGUUGUCAUAAUGGUUUGUCUGCAAGAUGACCACGAGGUGGAGUGCCAUCGCUUUCUGGAGCAGCUCGGAAGUAAAUUUUUGGUCCCACUUGGCUAGAUAUUUGCAUGCCAUCAUUCUUCAGUGAAGGGCUAAGUGUUGAAGUGGAGAGAAGAAUUUCCCAGCCAAAGUUCAAAUGGAAGGUGAGAGCAGCUCCUCUUGCUUUGGAUCACUUUUCAUCAGCUACUUCUCUUCACUGGCGGUCCUUAAUGCAUUGAUCCCAUAUCAACGCACUACUAGAUUAUUUGCAGGUUUUUUUUUUUUACAUGAAAUGUCUGCCAUCUGUGGGGCAACUCGUAAUAUUUACUAUUUUUGUGCAAACCACAUCUAUGGUAUGUUGUAUUACAACAAAGAAUGUUUAUUUGAUUUGUCCUUUUGUCUUGGUUAUACAGUUGGGUGCUGGCAAGGCUAUACUGAUUAAAUCUAUACUGGACCGGAAUUGUUAACUUGGCUGAGCUUUGGAGUGUAACUUGAAUGUAUGAAACCAAUUUGUAAAUUUACAAUAAACUCAUUU